CACGUAAGUUGCGAGCGUCGUUCGGAAUUAUUGGGCGUAAAGGGCAUGUAGGCGGCAUGGUAAGCUUGAUGUGAAAUCUCCGGGCUUAACCCGGAGGGUGCAUUGAGAACUGCCAUGCUUGAGUUGCUGAGGGGAAGCCGGAAUUCCAGGUGUAGGGGUGAAAUCUGUAGAUAUCUGGAAGAACACCAAUGGCGAAGGCAGGCUUCUAUCAGAUAACUGACGCUGAGGUGCGAAGGUGCGGGGAGCGAACAGGAUUAGAUACCCUGGUAGUCCGCACAGUAAACGAUGUACACUAGGCGUUUGCCCAAGUGGCGAGUGCCGAAGCUAACGCGAUAAGUGUACCGCCUGGGGAGUAUACUCGCAAGGGUGAAACUCAAAGGAAUUGACGGGGGCCCGCACAAGCGGUGGAGCAUGUGGUUUAAUUCGAUGGUACGCGAGGAACCUUACCUGGGCUUGACAUAACAAGCGAUUCGCUGGAAACAGCGGAGCGUAGUAAUACGGUUUGUUACAGGUGCUGCAUGGCUGUCGUCAGCUCGUNCCGUGAGGUGUUGGGUUAAGUCCCGCAACGAGCGCAACCCCUACUGCUAGUUACUAACAGGUGAAGCUGAGAACUCUGGCGGAACUGCCGGUGAUAAACCGGAGGAAGGCGGGGAUGACGUCAAGUCAUCAUGGCCCUUAUGUCCAGGGCUACGCACGUGCUACAAUGGUUGACACAGAGCGAGGCGAAGCAGUGAUGUGGAGCAAAACGCAAAAAGGCAAUCGUAGUUCGGAUUGAAGUCUGAAACUCGACUUCAUGAAGUUGGAAUCGCUAGUAAUCGCGCAUCAGCACGGCGCGGUGAAUACGUUCCCGGGCCUU
rnacentral:rRNA from 1 species